UUCCAAAAAAAAAAGCGCGAUGUUUUUGCUAUUAUUUUUUAUGAUUCAAUGACUCGUUUAUUGGGCAUGCUGAUUGAAUUUAAAAGCGGGAGGGGAAACCCACCCACCGGCCCCUCGGCCAAGUGAAUCCAUUCGCCCUGACAGUUUGCUGGCAGAGGAAGCGAAAAGCUGCGCGCGGCGCGUUUGGUCUGGCGAGGGGAGUUUUUAUUUCGCCCUUCUGCAAUAAGCACCAAGUCCACGUGUCACUUUUUUCAGCGUCUCCUCUUCCUGUGUGGGGAUUUCUGCAGGAAGUCUCGCCGCAGAAGGUCGAGGCUGCUCGGGGGCGAUGCUUGCAAAAGGAGGAGCCGGGGAGAGACGCGUUUGCAGACAGAUGCAGAAGUCGGAAAAGGCCAAGGUCUCGCCGGAGGCGGAGAUAUUUCAAGAAGCAGGAAAUCUCUGGAGCAUUUGCUGUGGUGCAUCGUAACAAGUUCAAGAAGAAAAUAAAAUCGUGUAAUAACUUAGAAAGGGCUAAGGAGUAAACUCUACACAAAUCCGGAGUGGAGUCCCUAAGAUGGUUGGAUUGCGUCUUGUACAACUCCUGCAGCCAGGCUGGUGCCAAACAUAUUACUCUGCUUUCCUUUGGAACACAUCAGAGAGGCUGAGAAGGCUGCCUUGUCGUCUGGGCAGCCCAGGACCCCCAUAAAUACUGCUCAGGCUUGCACACCAUGGAAGGUCGUUUCAGUGCUGCUAACACAGGGGUUUGACUUCACCCCCAGAAGUGUACUCUAUUGUCUCUCGAAACAGAUGGAAGCCAGAAACAGAUGGAAGCAAGCAACACUACGGAACAUAUUCCUCAUAAAUGCCACAGGUUGCAUCCAACGCUGCGUUGCAAGCUGAAUGUAUUUUUGUUUGUGAAGCAGAACACCACCACCUCUUCCUCCUUCCCCCUGCUGCACUGCCCUCAAGUUCUGUUCCAGAGCAAUGGAAAAAAGUAGGUCUAUAAUCCAAUUAAAUAUGUCUUAAGACUAUAAAACUCAUACAAUUAAAUCAAUUAAAUUUUCAUAUAAGUAAAAAAAAGUUGUCAUCACCAGCCAUGCACACGUGUUUGCCUUUUAAGAUAGUGCUCAUCAUACAUUUUAGUAUUUGCUUUUUUAAAAAAUUAAAUUUACUCUAUCACUUUUUAGGUCAUAAAAAUAUCACUUGAUUAAACUAAACAUUGCCACACACAAAAUCAUUAUGCAAAUCACCACAAUUUGAUAUAUAAAGGUCUUAGAAACGAAAAUUUUCUUGAUAUGAAAUUCGAACCUUGUUGAGGAAUAUUAAUAUUAUUUCAAGGGUACACACAACCCUGCCUCCUCUACAGUGACUGUUAGCAGUUACUAAGUGUGAAGGAGUGGGAGGCAUUUAAACUUAUUUUCCACACAUACUUUUUAUGACAGCAUUUCAAAAACACAAAUGUAAAACGUAUUGUUGAAAGUGGUAUUUAAUGCUAAGCAGUUAAGAGUGGCGAUCUAACAUUAUGGAGCUAACAAAAUUGCAACCAUUCAUCCAUAGCCACCAGGAUAAGACAUUUCUCAUGCAUAUGACAAAUCCAUUUACGUAGUGAGGGCUGAUUCCUGUGUACAAUAUUUCAUAAGUUAUGGUUCACAGCCUCCCCCAUUUGAGAAUAAUUCAAACUGAUUAUAUUAUAUUUUGUAUAUGCAAACUAUUUUAUAUACACAUGAAUAUAAAGAUCCCUAAAAGUACCAUUGGGAUGACACCCUUGAACUUUCUGUAAAAUGCAUAGCUUUCUUUCAUACCAUUUUAAAUAUUUUCUCUCAAGUUACCCAAAAAACUUUACAGAUUAAAGCUGCUUCAGUGUGUGAUAUUUUUAAAAAAACCAAAGGAAAUAAAUCUCAACUGUCAUGUUUAAACCUCUUGGGGAAAUCUCACAUAUUUGGCUCUGAAAUUAAAUGAAUUAAGUAAGCUAAUGGAAGCUCCAGUUAUCUUUGCACUCUUGGGAGAAACCCUGUGCUCUAAACACACAGGAAUCUUCUUAAGCAGGGUUGCAGUGCAGUAUUUCUGGUGCAGUGACCUGUUCAACUUUGCGCUGAAAGCUGAAACUCCAAACAUUUCCCAAACCUGCACUUUUGCAUCCAACAGCCAAGAACAGGAAGAAAAGCUAGUCAUAGUUGAGGAAAGGUUUAGAGCCAUUUCACUUUCACUGUUUCACCUUGUCCUUAUAACAAAAGAUCUUUAUCCACACGAAUUGCAACUCUCUGCUCUCGAUUAAAUGCAGCUACGGGUCAUUUAACAGGAAACAUCUGUCAGGAACAAAAAGCUAGCCCAUGACACUAAAAGUCAGGUGGUCCGUUUCACAACAGCUUAAAACUGUGUGGCAUCAGAGCUUCAGUUGGUGAAGAUGGACUAUAUUCAACUAGACUUGUGAAACUAGUAUAUCUCAAAAGCUUGCACAAGUGUGCCUUCUCUAGAGCCAAGCUUCAUACAAAUGCCAACAAGUUUUCACAGUAGUCAUCAGCAACUAUGGGCGCACAUUUCCCCAGGAACCUCUCCCAAACAAUUUCCAUAUAUUUCUAUGAGGUUUGCAUGGAAGAGAUUCCAGGUAUGAGAUUUAUUGUACUAGCGAGACCCAGUGACUAGCUAAGCAUGCUAGAAGCCAAAUCGUUUUAGGUUUAUCAUCUACCCACUAAGCUUAGGUUCUGAAUGAAUCGUCUAAAACGUUACUGAAUUGAUUGUGCAAACCGGGAGGAAGCUGCCUUCAUGUAAGAUUUGCAUGGGAGGCUUGUGCAUGUGUCAGAAUUGAAUCUACAGUGGCCAGAUAGCCACAGGACUAUAAGCAGCAUUAUUAACAGCUUUUCUACUGAAUUCUGCCGUUUCCUCAACAGCCCUGCUGGCAACUUAACUGAAUGGGUGUUUUGUAUCGCCAUCUUUGAAAUAGCAAGGGUUAGUGCUUAAUACUAAACAGCGGAACAAGUGAACAUUCCUUUAACACAGUCAUACAUGCGAUGUAGCAUCCCACACCUUAGCAAAAAUUACAAGGCAGCAACAAAAUAAGAGGGACUUCAUGGAAUUACAGGGCCUUUAGCUGGUGUAGAAAUAAGCUCUAUCACCGUGAUUCAAAAUACCAGAUGGGAAUUCCAAGAUGGAAGAUUUGUAAAAUCACAGUUCUCUUUACCCAAGGCAGGAAACUUGAUAAAACCUCCACCAUCAUUAUUAUAAAUUACAGCCCAAGAACUUCCAUGCUAUUUCAGUGUAUCGGCAUUACAUCAGACGUUUAUUCUAACUGGAAAUGGCCCCAGCCAUAACAACAAAGCUGAGUAUUUUAUACCCACCCCCCAAGACACACUGUUGGCAUUAAGGAUGUAGCUACCACCCACACCAAUACUACAGCUGGUAUUAUUAUUUUUUUAAAAAAAUAAACAAAACCCCAAUGAAAGAAAAUCUAAUUACCAAGUGAUUUCAUGUCUUGUUUCAGAGGCAUAUUUUUGUCAUUCUUGAAAACUAUAAAAUAAAAAGCCUUUAUUGUCAGCAAUACUUCGAAGAGAACUAGGCCCAUCAUGAAUAUAACAUUCAGCCCCAUAUAAAUAAGUCACCAAGGUGUGAAAAGCAAGGGAAUUAUUUCCAAUUACAGCGUACAAGCUUCCUAUGCUAUACUCUAUGCAGAAAAACAUUGCCAUGAGGUUUACAAAAUGAUCACUUCAACCAGUUGCUAGUUGAUAAAUAGGGAAUGCAUAUUUGGCUAUAAAUUAACACAGAAAAUAGUCAAUAUUCAAGUGAGAGACAGGUUAACUGGAGAGUUGCCAGGAGCUUCAACAUUAAUUCACUGGCCACCGAAAUGUGUUUCAGUAGCCAGACAUUACAAACCUUCAGCACAGUAUAUAUAUAUAUAUAUAUAA